rnacentral:rRNA from 1 species
UACGUAACCCACUAGUGGUAUCCACUAAUAUUGGGCCUAAAACGUCUGUAGCCUGUUUUAUAGGUCUUUUGUGAAAUCAACCAGCUCAACUGAUUGAAUUGCAAGAGAUACCGUGGAACUCGAGGCCGGAAGAGGUAAAGGGAAUUUCAGAGGUAGCGGUGAAAUGUUAUGAUCUCUGGAAGACCACCAGUAGCGAAGGCGCUUUACCAGUACGGACCUGACGGUGAGAGACGAAAGCUGGGGGAGCGACCAGGAUUAGAUACCCCAGUA